ACGGCUCAGUAACACGUGGACAACCUACCCUGAAGAGGGGGAUAACCCCGGGAAACUGGGGAUAAUACCCCAUAGGCUAUGGAUGCUGGAAUGCUCUGUAGUUGAAAGGUCCGCCGCUUCAGGAUGGGUCUGCGGCCGAUUAGGUUGUUGUUGGGGUAACGGCCCAACAAGCCUGUAAUCGGUACGGGUUGUGGGAGCAAGAGCCCGGAGAUGGAUUCUGAGACACGAAUCCAGGCCCUACGGGGCGCAGCAGGCGCGAAAACUUUGCAAUGCGAGCAAUCGUGACAAGGGAACUCCGAGUGCCUGUAAAAUCAGGCUGUCCGCCAGUGUAAAUAACUGGCGAAGAAGGGGCCGGGCAAGACCGGUGCCAGCCGCCGCGGUAAUACCGGCGGCUCGAGUGGUGGCCACUAUUACUGGGCUUAAAGCGUUCGUAGCUGGCUUGUUAAGUCUCUGGGGAAAUCUUCCGGCUUAACCGGAAGGCGUCUCAGGGAUACUGGCAGGCUAGGGACCGGAAGAGGUGAGAGGUACUCCAGGGGUAGGAGUGAAAUCCUGUAAUCCUUGGGGGACCACCUGUGGCGAAGGCGUCUCACCAGAACGGCUCCGACAGUGAGGAACGAAAGCUGGGGGAGCAAACCGGAUUAGAUACCCGGGUAGUCCCAGCUGUAAACGAUGCGCGUUAGGUGUAUCGGUGACCACGAGUCACCGAGGUGCCGAAGAGAAAUCGUGAAACGUGCCGCCUGGGAAGUACGGUCGCAAGGCUGAAACUUAAAGGAAUUGGCGGGGGAGCAC
rnacentral:rRNA from 1 species